rnacentral:lncRNA from 1 species
ACAUAACUUCAUAUCAAUCUUUAUUCAGACUAAAACUAAGCAAAAAUCUCCUAAGGUCCUAUGCUCCUCAUUGCUCGAUCCCAAGCCUCAUAUGUUCCUCUGGAUUUGAAAAUAAAAAUAAAAGAGAGAAUGAGCUUUGUAGGCUCAAUAAGUUACAAAUAUCUCUAAUGGAUCAAGCAUUGUUAAAUUCUUUUCCAAACAUAAUAAUUAACAAUAAUAGAUAUAUAAACCAACAUAAUUUUUGUUUUCAAAAUAUGCUAUAUAUAAUAGUGUAACAAAAAAUUCUCUCUUAGUCUUUGGUGACUACAGCCAUGAUUAGUCCUAUGAC